AGGCGUGGGCCGGCGGCUUUACACAUGCAAGUCGAGCGGUAGCACAGGGGAGCUUGCUCCCCGGGUGACGAGCGGCGGACGGGUGAGUAAUGUCUGGGAAACUGCCUGAUGGAGGGGGAUAACUACUGGAAACGGUAGCUAAUACCGCAUAACGUCGCAAGACCAAAGAGGGGGACCUUCGGGCCUCUUGCCAUCAGAUGUGCCCAGAUGGGAUUAGCUAGUAGGUGGGGUAAUGGCUCACCUAGGCGACGAUCCCUAGCUGGUCUGAGAGGAUGACCAGCCACACUGGAACUGAGACACGGUCCAGACUCCUACGGGAGGCAGCAGUGGGGAAUAUUGCACAAUGGGCGCAAGCCUGAUGCAGCCAUGCCGCGUGUGUGAAGAAGGCCUUCGGGUUGUAAAGCACUUUCAGCGAGGAGGAAGGUGGUGAGCUUAAUACGCUCAUCAAUUGACGUUACUCGCAGAAGAAGCACCGGCUAACUCCGUGCCAGCAGCCGCGGUAAUACGGAGGGUGCAAGCGUUAAUCGGAAUUACUGGGCGUAAAGCGCACGCAGGCGGUUUGUUAAGUCAGAUGUGAAAUCCCCGGGCUCAACCUGGGAACUGCAUUUGAAACUGGCAAGCUAGAGUCUCGUAGAGGGGGGUAGAAUUCCAGGUGUAGCGGUGAAAAUGCGUACAGAUCUGGAGGAAUACCGGUGGCGAAGGCGGCCCCCCUGGACGAAGACUGACGCUCACGUGCGAAAGCGUGGGGAGCAAACAAGAUUAAAUACCCCUGGUUAGUCCCACGUUGUAAACAAUGUCGAUUU
rnacentral:rRNA from 1 species